GACAGAGGUGGCAAGCGUUGUUCGGAAUUACUGGGCAUAAAGGGUGCGUAGGCGGUCAGGGUAGUCAGGGGUGAAAUCCCCCGGCUUAACUGGGGAAUUGCCUCUGAAACUCUCUGGCUAGAGUGCAGGAGGGGAGAGUGGAACUCAUGGUGGAGCGGUGAAAUGCGUUGAUAUCAUGAGGAACGCCGGAGGCGAAAGCGAUUCUCUGGUCUGCUACUGACGCUGAGGCACGAAAGCUAGGGGAGCAAACGGG
rnacentral:rRNA from 1 species